AUCAGUGGGGGCAGCAUCAGAGAAGCUGCAGCACUUCAAAUGGAAUGUGAGGUUUUCAAGCCUUAUAGUCAUAAAUAUUUCAUCUGCCAGCAGCUUUGAGGAGACGAGAGGGGGCAGGCCAACCAGCCACAGACCCAGCGCUUCUGGGCUUCGAACAACAAACUGCAGCUCUCAGAGACAAAAGGGACGGAACUGUCAGCAAAAGUUUCACUCGCAGUCAACGAUUUGGAGCAACAGAUCAGAAAAAAACAUUCGAGCAAUCCAUGCAGUGAAGUGUGUUGCACAGGAGACACAUGACAGAAUUGUUUAAUUGCAGCGCCAAUGAUGAUGUGGGGAGCAAUGUGGAUGUUUCAGAACCCUAAUCUGUUGCAAAGAUGGCACCUGACACGCAUCUGGGCUCUCUAAAAUUUAGACUGGCUGGUGAGACAAGUAAGGCCUUGCAAAGAGACUGGAUCAGACAUCUCAAGAAGGCGCUGAUAAAGCUCAAGGGGUUGAUCAAGGAGACCCUUUUUGAAGACAUGAAUGACAUCAAGAUGUCAGUGAUGACGGAGCUGCGGAGGAUUCCGGAAGAAUCCUUCCAGGAGUGCAUGGAGGCAUGGCAGAGAAGACUGGGAAAGUGUGUCAGACUCCGGUGGGAUUGCUUUGGAGGGGGGAAAACUUGUAGUUUGGACUUCAAAUACCUGUCUUGAGAUACGAGUGACUCAACUUACAAGUUUUUCGAGAGAUAAGCCGUCAUUCGGACGAUUUAAAAAAAUAUAUAUUAUUUUUAUUUUUUUGCUUUGACUUUUUUCUGGUGGCAGCAAACUCCAAUCACUUCACAACAAUGAGAAGUUUGGCAGAUAGUUAACAAUUCUUAAAAAAAACAAAACGAGGCUUUGAGCCAUUUAUUGCCACUCCCAGUUCAAAUCUACUGUCAAACUAAACAUUAAAAAAAUAGAAAUUUAAACAGUCACAUGACUUUGCUUCCGCUAGCUUAAUGCUUACACAUAUUGGGAAACGCCAUAGACGGGCAAAAGAAAGUACCUGUGUUGCGGUGUUCUCUUUUCAGCAAUGGAUAUUUUUACACAAUCAGUGGAGCACCACAUGUAGACAGAUAAUAUAACAAUCCUCACAGGCUUAUAUUCUUUAUCUUCUUUGAAGAACAACUAAGCUGUCUGUAUUAUACUACGCCCUGGUGGCCAAGGUGCACACAUCAGAAUGAGCAGCACAAUGUCCAUUGAAUCGAAGCAAAAAAAACAUGGCAAAAACAGUUUUUACAUUCUAUUAAAUUAUUCCAUCAUUAUAUGUUUUUAUGAACUACUAUAUUAAAGAGUGCUAUUUUUCUUUGUUAGUGUUUUUGGGAGCCCUAGAAUGGAUUAACGGCUUUCCCAUUCAUUUCAAUGUGGAAAGACGAGUUGAGAUUCGUUUUGAGUUACGAGCGUCGUUAUUGAAUGAAUUGAACUUGUAUCUCAAGGCGACACUACAGUCCCCUCCAAAAGUAUUAGAAUGGCAAAGUCAAUUGCCGUGCCGUCAAUUGUUGCUCCUUUGAAAAGUGGGUGGCUUCAAACAAAAGAUGCAAAUACCAGGAAAUAAAAGCUGGAAUUCUGAACUUUUGUCUCUUAUUCAUCUUUUGAUCUGAAACGCCUUCAGUAUACAACAAAAACAAAGCAAUUGACCUUGCCGUUCCAAUACCUUUGGAGGAGACUGUAUACAUUUUGUGGCACCAGUCAUAUAACUUUCGGACAUAGCUCGUAUGUGCAAAGUGAUGUGCCGAGACACUGUAGGCAUCAGCUUCUGUAAAAAUUCUUAAAUAUCAUAUUAUG